UAAGGGCGCACGGUGGAUGCCUUGGCACUAGAAGCCGAUGAAGGACGUUACUAACGACGAUAUGCUUUGGGGAGCUGUAAGUAAGCUUUGAUCCAGAGAUUUCCGAAUGGGGAAACCCAGCAUGAGUUAUGUCAUGUUAUCGAUAUGUGAAUACAUAGCAUAUCAGAAGGCACACCCGGAGAACUGAAACAUCUUAGUACCCGGAGGAAGAGAAAGAAAAUUCGAUUCCCUUAGUAGCGGCGAGCGAAACGGGAAGAGCCCAAACCAACAAGCUUGCUUGUUGGGGUUGUAGGACACUCUAUACGGAGUUACAAAGGACGACAUUAGACGAAUCAUCUGGAAAGAUGAAUCAAAGAAGGUAAUAAUCCUGUAGUCGAAAAUGUUGUCUCUCUUGAGUGGAUCCUGAGUACGACGGAGCACGUGAAAUUCCGUCGGAAUCUGGGAGGACCAUCUCCUAAGGCUAAAUACUCUCUAGUGACCGAUAGUGAACCAGUACCGUGAGGGAAAGGUGAAAAGCACCCCGGAAGGGGAGUGAAAUAGAACCUGAAACCGUGUGCUUACAAGUAGUCAGAGCCCGUUAAUGGGUGAUGGCGUGCCUUUUGUAGAAUGAACCGGCGAGUUACGAUUUGAUGCAAGGUUAAGCAGUAAAUGUGGAGCCGUAGCGAAAGCGAGUCUGAAUAGGGCGUUUAGUAUUUGGUCGUAGACCCGAAACCAGGUGAUCUACCCUUGGUCAGGUUGAAGUUCAGGUAACACUGAAUGGAGGACCGAACCGACUUACGUUGAAAAGUGAGCGGAUGAACUGAGGGUAGCGGAGAAAUUCCAAUCGAACCUGGAGAUAGCUGGUUCUCUCCGAAAUAGCUUUAGGGCUAGCCUCAAGUGAUGAUUAUUGGAGGUAGAGCACUGUUUGGACGAGGGGCCCCUCUCGGGUUACCGAAUUCAGACAAACUCCGAAUGCCAAUUAAUUUAACUUGGGAGUCAGAACAUGGGUGAUAAGGU
rnacentral:rRNA from 1 species